GGGGAGUACGAUCGCAAGAUUAAAACUCAAAGGAAUUGACGGGGCCCCGCACAAGCAGCGGAGCAUGCGGCUUAAUUCGACGCAACGCGAAGAACCUUACCAAGGCUUGACAUAUACAGGAAUAUGGCAGAAAUGUCAUAGCCGCAAGGUCUGUAUACAGGUGGUGCAUGGUUGUCGUCAGCUCGUGUCGUGAGAUGUUGGGUUAAGUCCCGCAACGAGCGCAACCCUCGUUCUGUGUUGCCAGCAUUUAGUUGGGGACUCACAGGAGACUGCCGGGGUUAACUCGGAGGAAGGUGGGGAUGACGUCAAAUCAUCAUGCCCCUUAUGUCUUGGGCUGCACGCAUGCUACAAUGGCUGGUACAAACGGCUGCGAUACCGCAAGGUGGAGCGAAUCCGAUAAAGCCAGUCUCAGUUCGGAUUGGGGUCUGCAACUCGACCCCAUGAAGUCGGAGUUGCUAGUAAUCGUAGAUCAGCAACGCUACGGUGAAUACGUUCCCGGGGCUUGUACACACCGCCCGUCACGUCACGAAAGUCGGUAACACCCGAA
rnacentral:rRNA from 1 species